UCAUACACAGCUUGUGACCCACUGCAAUUCUGAGCUCUUCUUUCUUCUUCAGGAAAUAGUUUAUUCCUCUCUCCUGGGUGACUACUCUGUGCUUUCCCUAAUGGCCUCCACCUAUCCAUUUGGCCAUCCCCAGGGGUCAAGAACAUUCCCAACUGUAACCAGCUUUCCCAGGGACUUGCUCUCACACCAGUUUACAUCAGAAGACAAU
rnacentral:lncRNA from 1 species